rnacentral:tRNA from 1 species
GUUCUUAUAGUUGAAUUACAACGAUGGUUUUUCAUGCCAUUGGUCUUGGUUAAUAGUCCAUGUGAGAAUA